CCUACGGGAGGCAGCAGUGAGGAAUAUUGGUUAAUGGGCGCUAGCCUGAACCAGCCAAGUAGCGUGAAGGAUGACUGCCCUAUGGGUUGUAAACUUCUUUUAUAUGGGAAUAAAGUGCAGUAUGUAUACUGCUUUGCAUGUACCUUAUGAAUAAGGAUCGGCUAACUCCGUGCCAGCAGCCGCGGUAAUACGGAGGAUCCGAGCGUUAUCCGGAUUUAUUGGGUUUAAAGGGAGCGUAGGCGGGUUGUUAAGUCAGUUGUGAAAGUGUGCGGCUCAACCGUAAAAUUGCAGUUGAUACUGGCAUCCUUGAGUACAGUAGAGGUAGGCGGAAUUCGUGGUGUAGCGGUGAAAUGCUUAGAGAUCACGAAGAACUCCGAUUGCGAAGGCAGCCUGCUGGACUGUAACUGACGCUGAGGCUCGAAAGUGUGGGUAGCAAACAGGAUUAGAUACCCUAGUAGUC
rnacentral:rRNA from 1 species